UCCUUGUCUAAGUUAUUAAGGGAAACCAUACGCCUGAUGGCCCUUUCUAUUGGUACUGUUUUGCUGGAAACUAAGUUAACUGCGAUGUUUGUAGAACUUAAUUAUAUUUGGAGAAUUAUUUAGUGUGGUAUGUGGAAUGGUGGUUAUUUGAGUUUUAGUUUUACCUAGCACAUAAUGCAUGUGCGUUGCCAUGAGCAAUUAACAAUGUUUGACGAGUACAGACUCUUUAAAUAACAAUCCAAUUUUUAUUUAUUUUACCAUAUAUGUAGAACAUGGCAACCUAGAAUCAGACAUAGUUAUCAAUCGCAUGUUAAUUUGUG
rnacentral:lncRNA from 1 species